GUUUGGGGAGCUACCAAGUCUAGGGUUCGAUGUCAGCAUGUGGGGUCUUCCUAAAUUGAAUCUGUGCAGCUUCUCUGUGGUCUCCUGGUCUCCUUGCCUGGUGCUGGAGGUUGGCUUUAAGGUGAGCCUGGACAGAGGAGGCAUAGUAGGAUCAGCUCAGGCCUUCGAAUGGCUUCCCCGCAGCCUGAUUCCGUUUCUGGUUAAACCUGUCACAGGAAGCCAGGGCUCACCUGCUCAAGCAAAGGUCUUAGGGUUGUAGAAUAGAGGUGACAUUAUUUUCCAGGAUCUUUCCUGUGUAUAGGAUGGUGAGUCUUUUAAGACAGCCGGGACGACCUACCUACACAGAACUGGACCAGACCAAUGGGCGACAGAGCCAGAUUGCAAGAAGGGAAAGAAAAACAAAACGCAACACCACACAACAACACCACACAAGAGCCUCUGAGAUGCUCCUUCCUUCCUUACUGCAUUAACCAGCUAUCGACCUGGUUGUGUCCGAUUGCGAUGAUGGGCUGAGAGAAAGAACACCGGAAGAGCCAGGCUGUUCUCAGGAAGGACUCACGCCGGCCACGGGGCCGCCCCUGGCCCAGAGGGUGAACCUCUAGACCCAGGCAUGAACCUAAGAACCUCGCUUAAUUAGAUUCCUCCAGGCAUCCCAGGCCUGGAGUAGAAACAGCUACCAGUUACCCCGUGACCAACUGGGAAGAGCUUUGGUCUGGCCCUGAAAUCAGCAACCCACGCCGGGACCCAGUAUCCCAAGCGACUGGAGUCACUGCAUGGCUCUGAUUCCUCAACAAGACCAGGCCAGUGGAACUCAGCUCUUAGACUAAACUCGCGAGUCCGCGGAGAGCUGAAGCUUUUCAUGGGAUUUUUAAUCCAGGAGAUUAGGUCAGACAGACAGAUUCGCACAGAGAGUGAGGAGAAGCAGGUGCAUCGGGAGUUGAUUGGGGAAAGACCUGAGCGCAACAGCAGGAGACCAGCAGGAGCUUCUCCCUCACCCCCUCUUUCUCCCAACAGGCACAGUGCACAAAGCGCUCGCCGCGGACGCUCUGUGGUCUGGGAUCAGGGCGCCAGGAGCAUACAGAAAAGGUGUACGCCGAGGACACGUGGCGCACGAAGCUGUGCGCGCUGGAGGACAACUACAAGGGGUGCCCUAUGUGUAGCCAGAGGCCCACCAGCUUCGGGGUCGGACACUCCGAACCACCAGCCCCCAUCUCUUCCCUCCCCUGGUCCAGCUCCCCGAUGUGCCCGUGCCCCCCGUCGUUGGGAGCUUCUGCAGCUGUGUCUCCCAGCUCGGACAGAGUUCACUCCUUUCCUCCCAAGGCUCAGAGUCCCCCAGAGGCGGUGCGGGCUGGCUAUCCUUCAGCUUCUUGCAGAGGCUGCUGCGUACGCUCCCCCCCCCCCCAGCUGGGGUUACAGGUUAAUGAAACGCUCGUUUUCCUCAGUCAUUUGUUUUGUUUUCCUGCAAAGUUCUGAUAAGUAGCUAACCAACGAAGCUUGUAAUUACAAUCUUACAGAAACCGGGCCGAUCUGUAUAUAAAUCUCACCAUCCAAUUACAAGAUGUAAUAAUUUUGCACUCAAGCUGGUAAUGAGGUCUAAUACUCGCGCAUGCGAUAAUCCCCUCUGGAUGCUGGCUUGAUCAGAUGUUGGCUUUGUAAUUAGACGGGCAGAAAAUCAUUAUUUCAUGUUCAAAUAGAAAAUGAGGUUGGUGGGAAGUUAAUUUCUCUCCGCUCUGUGAAGCGUAGACAAGAAUUUAAUGAUUUAAUUACAGUUGUAAGCCCUUUCCAUGAGACUUAAAUUGAGCUGAGAAUAUUUUUUUCCUUUUCUCUCUCUCCCCCUCUCUGGCUUUCUCAUUCUCUCUCUCCGCUAUUAGCAGCCACACGGACUUGCAGAUGCAUGGCCUGGCGUAGCACCGGGAGGAAUUCACAUUUGACUGUGAAUCCGGCCUCGGAGCAUCCCAGGAGGCGCGGGCCGGGCGCCGGCACGUCUGCCGUGCAACGCUGGCUGAGCCCUGUAAGCCGUCAGGGCCCGGGAGGCUGUCCCUGGUCCAGAGGCGCUACGGGAAACUUUGAGGCAAACUUUGCAAACUUCUUUCUCGGAGUUAAGAGAGGCCGCCGGUCAGAAAGGCUGCGGCGGCAGCAGCGUGGGCCCCAGGCCGGAUUUGUACACCGCCGAACUGGCCCUGCGGCCCCAGAAGGAGCGCGAGGCUCUCCAGCGUGCCCAUCUCUGCCUGCACCUCCCGGACCAGGGCCCCUGCCACUGGCCUUCGAGUGGCCAGCUCUACGCAGCUCCCGGAAUCUCAGCAUGGAAGGAAAACCGUGGCCCUGUGCACCAGUGGUUUUGUUUCUCUUUCUCUCUGCAAAAACAUCCACUUUCCACCUGCGCUGAGCUUUUUCGCUGAUCUUUUUUUUUUUCUUUCUUUUCCGUCCUGUCUAUUUCUCACACUUUCUGUAUGUUUGAUUUCCGGGGAUGUAUUUUUCUCUUUCUUUGAGUCCAAGUGUGUUGUUCGAUCCUUUUAUUUUUAUUUUCCUGGACCGUUUUCUUAAAGCUCAUUCUUUUUUGCCUCUCCCUUCCGUGUCUCUGCCCCCCCCCUCCUCAGUUUCAUCUUCUUCCUUUUCUCCCUCCCUCUCUUACCCCAUCUGCCCUAUUUCAAUCUUGAUCUACCCCAGGCUCUCCUUUGCUGGUUUCUUCUCUUUUCCUUUCCUCUACAGUCUGUCCCCUCCCCCGCCCGUGGAUCUGCUUCUCGGGCAUCCCCUCCCUCCUCAUCCAUCUUGGGAGAUGAAUAUGUCGCCUUAUUGGAUGCGGAGGCCAAAGCAGGGCAAUGGGGCUCGGCCAACGCCGCACAUUUUCUUCAUGCAUAUUGAGAAUAUGGUAAUGAGCGCGUUUGCAUUGUUGCAUGGAAAUGAUGCGACUCCCUCUGCGGUGCGGAGUGGGCAAGAUGCUGAAAUUGGUCACACAGCCUCGAGUCCCAAGGCCCGGACAGAUGUGUUCUCUACACUUGUUUAAACACGGCGCUCAUUAGGAACUGAGCAUGUAAAGCAAGUUGAUCACACCACAAAGCAGGACGCUUUAUCAUGGGGGCCUCUCCGGAGGCGGCGGGAGGGGCCGUCAGCUGCCACUGUCACUCUGCUGCCCCCUCGGAUCCUGAGUGACAGUCAGGCCCGCCACCUCCUCAGCCGCCUGCUCGGAAGUACACAGCUUCCCGUCAGAGCGCCGCCGAGCUGCCUGGGAGGAGGUAUUAAUUGUUGUCAGCGUUCAUUUCACACCCCAGAUAACAAACGAGAGCCACCCUGGCGGUGUGCAAGGAAGAUAAACAAGUUGCCUGAGCCCCUGCAAUUAAACAUGCUUGCAUAUUUAACGGAGACGUUUCCUGGAAAAAUGCAAAGUGCUCUGAGCAGACACCACACAGAGGCCCUUCCAAACAGCACAGUGUCCUGUGAUGCAGUCGCUGUCUACUCUAUGUGGCUCAGGAACGGGAGUCUCAGAAAAUCAUGUCUUCUAAAUCUCCCCACUUUCUCUCUGUCUCUCCCUCCUUCUCUCCUUUUUUUCUUUCAAGACAGAAUCUCUCUAUGUAGCCCAGGCUGGCUUUGAACUCAUGAUCCCUCUGCUUCUGUCUCCCAAGUGGUGAUAUCAUGACGAUGUGUCUCCAUACCUGGAUCAAUGUCUCUUCAUCUUGACGUGAAUAAACAUCAGAGUUUAGUGGGAUGGGGGUUUAUGUGGCUUUCUACAUGACUUGAGGAGAUGGGGAGUUAAUACUGGCAAUAAUUAACGAGGGUUCUCCACUAGCAUGCUCAGAAGUGGCUAGCUGGGAAGCCCGGCUACAGGGACGGGCUAUUGCUAGGCAGUCAUGGCAUCCCAAGUUGGAAUGCAGACUGAGAAGGGGCCAGUGAGUUCAUAUCAGAGUUACUAGUGAAUGUUUUCAUUCAUGACAGUUGAGCAUACCUGAAAAUUGGGCAGAUUUCCAUUUAUUAGAUGUUUCUAGACACUUCUGUCUCAGUUCCUGAAAGGACCAAUUCCCACAGCCUAAACUUUUCUUUCAAUUUCUCUUUCUCCUCCCUCCUUUUCUUCUUCUUUCCAUCAUU